rnacentral:rRNA from 1 species
UACGUAGGGGGCAAGCGUUGUCCCGGAUUUAUUGGGCGUAAAGAGCGUGUAGGCGGCCAGACAAGUCUGCUGUGAAAACUCGAGGCUCAACCUCGAGCUGUCGGUGGAAACUGUCUGGCUAGAGUCCGGAAGAGGAGAGUGGAAUUCCUGGUGUAGCGGUGAAAUGCGCAGAGAUCAGGAGGAACACCCGUAGCGAAGGCGGCACUCUGGGCCGAUACUGACACUGAGGAGCGAAAGCGUGGGGAGCGAACAGG